CCAAUGAUGGCGACCGGCGCACGGGUGAGUAACGCGUAUCCAACCUCCCCUUAGGUAGAGGAUAGCCCGGCGAAAGUCGGAUUAAUACUCUAUGUUGUAUUUUGAUGACAUCUGACGAAUACCAAAGAUUUAUCGCUAAGGGAAUGGGGAUGCGUCUGAUUAGGUUGCAGGCGGGGUAACGGCCCACCUGGCCUACGAUCAGUAGGGGUUCUGAGAGGAAGGUCCCCCACACUGGUACUGAGACACGAACCAGACUCCUACGGGAGGCAGCAGUGAGGAAUAUUGGUCAAUGGGCGCGAGCCUGAACCAGCCAAGGUAGCGUGCAAGGACGACUGCCCUAUGGGUUGUAAACUGCUUUUAUCAGGGAAUAAAGUGAGGCACGCGUGCCUUUUUGUAUGUACCUGAUGAAUAAGGACCGGCUAAUUCCGUGCCAGCAGCCGC
rnacentral:rRNA from 1 species